rnacentral:rRNA from 1 species
GAUGAACGCUGGCGGCGUGCCUAAUACAUGCAAGUCGAGCGAACGGACGAGAAGCUUGCUUCUCUGAUGUUAGCGGCGGACGGGUGAGUAACACGUGGAUAACCUACCUAUAAGACUGGGAUAACUUCGGGAAACCGUAGCUAAUACCGGAUAAUAUUUUGAACCGCAUGGUUCAAAAGUGAAAGACGGUCUUGCUGUCACUUAUAGAUGGAUCCGCGCUGCAUUAGCUAGUUGGUAAGGUAACGGCUUACCAAGGCAACGAUGCAUAGCCGACCUGAGAGGGUGAUCGGCCACACUGGAACUGAGACACGGUCCAGACUCCUACGGGAGGCAGCAGUAGGGAAUCUUCCGCAAUGGGCGUAAGCCUGACGGAGCAACGCCGCGUGAGUGAUGAAGGUCUUCGGAUCGUAAAACUCUGUUAUUAGGGAAGAACAUAUGUGUAAGUAACUGUGCACAUCUUGACGGUACCUAAUCAGAAAGCCACGGCUAACUACGUG